UUUUUCCCGUUAAGGAGUUUUGUAAAUUUUUCAAUACUUCUUUUUCACGCUCUUCUGAAAUUACAGCACCAGUACCUAUACAAAAGGCUUUGUCUUCUUCAGAAUGGACAACCGUAGAAGUUUCAGCAGCACUUGGUUCUUUAUGAGACAUUUUUUUUACUAAAAUAAAUUACCAGAUAAUAGAAAAUCGGUAAACUAAUUAAAGACCAAUAACACAAAAUAGAAUAUCCGACGUUCUUGCAAAAAAUUUCAGGUUCAAAUGAAAAUUGCUUUGAUGUAGUGAUGAGAAAUGAA